rnacentral:rRNA from 1 species
CGACGCUGGCGGCGUGCUUAACACAUGCAAGUCGAACGGUAUUGGGCCCUUUCGGGGUACACGAGUGGCGAACGGGUGAGUAACACGUGGGUGAUCUGCCCUGCACUUCGGGAUAAGCCUGGGAAACUGGGUCUAAUACCGGAUAGGACCAUGGACUUCACGGUUUGUGGUGGAAAGCUUUUGCGGUGUGGGAUGGGCCCGCGGCCUAUCAGCUUGUUGGUGGGGUAAUGGCCUACCAAGGCGACGACGGGUAGCCGGCCUGAGAGGGUGUCCGGCCACACUGGGACUGAGAUACGGCCCAGACUCCUACGGGAGGCAGCAGUGGGGAAUAUUGCACAAUGGGCGCAAGCCUGAUGCAGCGACGCCGCGUGAGGGAUGACGGCCUUCGGGUUGUAAACCUCUUUCAAUUGGGACGAAGCGCAAGUGACGGUACCUAUAGAAGAAGCACCGGCCAACUACGUG